CACGUAGGGCGCAAGCGUUGUCCGGAAUUAUUGGGCGUAAAGAGCUCGUAGGCGGUCUGUUGCGUCCGCUGUGAAAACUCGGGGCUUAACCCCGAGCCUGCAGUGGAUACGGGCAGACUAGAGGUAGGUAGGGGAGAAUGGAAUUCCCGGUGUAGAGGUGAAAUUCGUAGAUAUCGGGAGGAACACCGGUGGCGAAGGCGGCGACCUGGGUCGAGACUGACGCUGAGGCGCGAAAGCGUGGGGAGCAAACAGG
rnacentral:rRNA from 1 species